UCUUUUUUAUGGUUUUUUUACGGGCUCAGGAUGAACGCUGGCGGUCUGCUUAACACAUGCAAGUCGAACGGAAUCCUUCGGGAUUUAGUGGCGGACGGGUGAGUAACACGUGAGAAUCUGCACUCAGGAUGGGGACAACAGCGGGAAACUGCUGUUAAUACCCAAUGUGCCGAAAGGUAAAAGAUUUAUCGCCUGAGAAUGAGCUCGCGGCCGAUUAGUUAGUUGGUGGGGUAAUGGCCUACCAAGACGGCGAUCGGUAGUUGUUUUGAGAGGAUGAGCAGCCACACUGGGAUUGAGCCACGGCCCAGAUUCUUACGGGAGGCACCAGUGGGGAAUUUUCCCCAAUGGGCCCAACCCUGACGGAGCAAGACCGCGUGGGGGAGGAAGGUUCUUGGGUUGUAAACCCCUUUUUUCAGGGAAGAAGUUAUGACGGUACCUGAGGAAUCAGCCUCGGCUAACUCCGUGCCAGCAGCCGCGGUAAUACGGAGGAGGCAAGCGUUAUCCGGAAUUAUUGGGCGUAAAGCGUCCGUAGGUGGUGGGGCAAGUCGGCGGUUAAAGACUGGGGCUUAACUCCAGAAAGGCCGUGGAAACUGCACCACUAGAGGGCAGUAGGGGUAGAGGGAAUUCCCGGUGUAGCGGUGAAAUGCGUAGAGAUCGGGAAGAACACCAGUGGCGAAAGCGCUCUACUGGACUGCAACUGACACUCAGGGACGAAAGCUAGGGGAGCGAAUGGGAUUAGAUACCCCAGUAGUCCUAGCCGUAAACGAUGAUGCUAGGGUCGU
rnacentral:rRNA from 1 species